rnacentral:rRNA from 1 species
GAUGAACGCUAGCUACAUGCUUAACACAUGCAAGUCGAGGGGAAACGACAUCGAAAGCUUGCUUUUGAUUGGCCUCGACCGGCGCACGUGUGAGUAACGCGUAUCCAACCUGCCCAUCACUUGGGAAUAACCUUGCGAAAGUAAGACUAAUACCCAUUUACAUCCCACGAAUACAUUUGAAUGGGAUGAAAUAUUUAUCGGUGAUGGAUGGGGAUGCGUCUGAUUAGCUUGUUGGCGGGGUAACGGCCCACCAAGGCAACGAUCAGUAGGGGUUCUGAGAGGAAGGUCCCCCACAUUGGAACUGAGACACGGUCCAAACUCCUACGGGAGGCAGCAGUGAGGAAUAGUGGGCAAUGGGCGAGAGCCUGAACCAGCCAAGUAGCGUGCAGGAUGACGGCCCUAUGGGUUGUAAACUGCUUUUAUAAGGGAAUAAAGUGGGUCUCGUGAGACUUUUUGCAUGUACCUUAUGAAUAAGGACCGGCUAAUUCCGUG